CCCAACUAUCCCUAUUAAUCAUUACGUCAAUCCUAGAAACCAACAAAAUAGGAUCGAUCGUCCUAUUUCAUUAUUCCAUGCUAAUGUAUUCAAGCGUUAGCCUGCUUUAAACACUCUAAUUUUUUCAAAGUAACAGUCCAGUUUCCCCGCAACACCAAAUUAAUGGCAUUACGGUUCAUCAGGAAGGAGGAACCAGUGAGACCAGUACAUACCAGUGGCACGACCAACCUACUGACCCCGAAAUUCAACUA
rnacentral:rRNA from 1 species